rnacentral:rRNA from 1 species
GAUGAACGCUGGCGGCGUGCCUAGUACAUGCAAGUCGAGCGAACAGACGAGGAGCUUGCUCCUCUGACGUUAGCGGCGGACGGGUGAGUAACACGUGGAUAACCUACCUAUAAGACUGGGAUAACUUCGGGAAACCGGAGCUAAUACCGGAUAAUAUAUUGAACCGCAUGGUUCAAUAGUGAAAGACGGUUUUGCUGUCACUUAUAGAUGGAUCCGCGCCGCAUUAGCUAGUUGGUAAGGUAACGGCUUACCAAGGCAACGAUGCGUAGCCGACCUGAGAGGGUGAUCGGCCACACUGGAACUGAGACACGGUCCAGACUCCUACGGGAGGCAGCAGUAGGGAAUCUUCCGCAAUGGGCGAAAGCCUGACGGAGCAACGCCGCGUGAGUGGUGAAGGUCUUCGGAUCGUAAAACUCUGUUAUUAGGGAAGAACAAAUGUGUAAGUAACUAUGCACGUCUUGACGGUACCUAAUCAGAAAGCCACGGCUAACUACGUG